rfam:Capsicum annuum cultivar Zunla-1 chromosome 2, whole genome shotgun sequence
GACUUUCAGCAAUGGAUAUCUCGACUCUCGUAUCAAUGAAAAAUGUAGCGAAAUUCAAUACUUGGUGUAAAUUGUAGUAUCCGGUGAACCAUCGAGCCUUUGAACGCAAGUUAUGCCCAAAGCCAUUAGGCUGAGGGCACGUCUUCCUGGGCAUCA